ACACGAUUGAUUUCACUCAUUCAGAUCCUCUCUCUCUCUCUCUCUCUCUCUCUCAGCAGCGUCGCACUAUCCCCCUCUUACUGUCUCUCACCCUUGCAAGUAGUAGUGCUCCACGAAGCCACCACGUCUGGAUCUAUCCCUACCGCACCUGAUAAUCACCGCCUACGUCAGCCGCAUCAACACCAGAUCUAAGGAUAUGGAAUCAUAGAUCUGGAGGUGUUGAGAUGAAGCUGGAAGUUUUUGUUUUUUCAAUGCGAUUUGGGAAUUGAGAAGCUUUGUUUAAUUUCUAACUUAAUUUCGAUUCGCAAUUCUAAUAAUCUGCAACUAAUUUCUAUUUGGGUUUGUCAAAUCUUGAUCUGGAGUUGACCUAGUGUUGUUUAUUUCAUUCUGAUAGAUCUAGAAUUUUACUUUAGUGUUUUGAAAAUUGAGUUGGUUUCUAUGCGUUUAUGUUUUUUUAGAUACAAAGGUUUGGAAAUUAGUUCUUUGUUGAACCCAUUUCUUCGUUUGAUUGUGAAGAGAACAGAUCUAUAACAUGGAGUUCGAUAUGUAAUGGACUUCUUAUGUUAUUCUGUUACUUGCAGAUGCAAAUUUUCGUGAAAAUCCUUUGAAGCUUAGUGAAUGUGUUGUGAAGAUUAGUUGGUGA